AAAGUACUCCCUCCGUCCCAAAAUUAUUGUCUUAGAUUUGUCUAGAUACGGAUGUAUCAAGUCACAUUUUAGUAUUAGAUACAUCCGUAUCUAGACAAAUCUAAGACAAGAAAUUUGGGACAGAGGAAGUAGUUG
rnacentral:pre_miRNA from 1 species